rnacentral:rRNA from 1 species
GUAGGGAAUUUUCGUCAAUGGGCGCAAGCCUGAACGAGCAAUGCCGCGUGAGUGAAGAAGGUCUUCGGAUUGUAAACCUCUUUUGCCGGGGAGCAAUGACAUUCUUGCGAGAGUGUAGGGAGAGUACCCGGAGAAAAAGCAUCGGCUAACUCCGUGCCAGCAGCCGCGGUAAUACGGAGGAUGCGAGCGUUAUCCGGAUUUAUUGGGUUUAAAGGGUGCGUAGGCGGACUGUUAAGCCGGCGGUAAAAGCCCGGGGCUCAACCCCGGCAAGCCGUCGGAACUGGCAGACUAGAGUAGGCGAGAGGUACGCGGAAUGCGCGGUGUAGCGGUGAAAUGCAUAGAUAUCGCGCAGAACUCCGAUUGCGAAGGCAGCGUACUGGCGCCCGACUGACGCUGAGGCACGAAAGCGUGGGUAUCGAACAGGA